AUGUGGAAGCACGUUAAUGAUGGGGUGUAUUCAGCGUCCUUUGCCUACAAGGCGUAAUUCUUGGGCUUGGUCCUGUCUCCUUUGGAUGGCAUGAUAUGGAAGAAUUGGUCACCGCCGAAGGUCAAGUUUUUCUCUUGGUUGGCUGCACAUGAUAGGAUUUGGACCACUGAUAGAUUGGCCAAGUGCGGUUGA
rnacentral:rRNA from 1 species